CACCUCCAGCAUAUCAAUUAUUGGAGGCACUGCCUGCCCAGUGACAUUCGUUAAACGGCCGCGGUAUCCUGACCGUGCAAAGGUAGCAUAAUCAUUUGUUCUCUAAAUAAGGACUUGUAUGAAUGGCCACACGAGGGUUUUACUGUCUCUUACUUCCAAUCAGUGAAAUUGACCUUCCCGUGAAGAGGCGGGAAUGUCCAAAUAAGACGAGAAGACCCUAUGGAGCUUCAAUUAACUAGCCCAUAAAUAAAUAAUACAACUCCAAAGGACCUAAAACUCCCCUUAAUGGGCUAACAAUUUAGGUUGGGGUGACCUCGGAAUAUAAAAUAACUCCCGAGUGAUUAAAAUCUAGACAAACUAGUCAAAAUAACAUAUCAUUAAUUGAUCCAAAAAUUUGAUCAACGGAACAAGUUACCCUAGGGAUAACAGCGCAAUCCUAUUUGAGAGUCCAUAUCGACAAUAGGGUUUACGACCUCGAUGUUGGAUCAGGACAUCCCAAUGGUGCAGCCGCUAUUAAUGGUUCGUUUGUUCAACGAUUAAAGUCCU
rnacentral:rRNA from 1 species